rnacentral:rRNA from 1 species
CGGUAAUUCCAGCUCCAAUAGCGUAUACUAAAGUUGUUGCAGUUAAAAAGCUCGUAGUUGGAUUUCUGCGGGGACGGAGCGGCCGGACGCAACUUGCGUCUCGAGCUAGCGCUUUCCCCACAUCCUGCCGCGAACCGUGCUACCAUUAGCUUAGUGGCGCUGGGGAUCGGCUCGAUUACUUUGAGAAAAAUAGAGUGUUCAAAGCAGGCCACACGCCUUGAAUAAGUUAGCAUGGAAUAAUGAUUAAGGACUUCGGUUCUAUUUUGUUGGUGUUCGGGACUGAAGUAAUGAUUGAUAGGGACAGUUGGGGCGGUCUGUAUUCCAAAGCGAGAGGUGAAAUUCUUAGACCUUCGGAAGACAAACAGCUGCGAAAGCGUUCCGCAAGGAUGUUCCCUUUGAUCAAGAACGAAAGUUGGGGGAUCGAAGACGAUCAGAUACCGUCGUAGUCUCAACUAUAAACUAUACCAGCUAGGGAUCGGCCAACGUUUAACUUUAUCGACUUGGUCGGCACCUUAUGAGAAAUCAAAGCAUCUGGGUUCCGGGGGGAGUAUGGUCGCAAGGCUGAAACUUAAAGGAAUUGACGGAAGGGCACCACCAGGCGUGGAGCCUGUGGCUUAAUUUGACUCAACACGGGAAAACUUACCAGGUCCAGACAUAGGAAGGAUUGACAGAUUGAUAGCUCUUUCUUGAUUCUGUGGGUGGUGGUGCAUGGCCGUUUUUAGUCGGUGAAGUGAUUUGUCUGCUUAAUUGCGUUAACGGACGAGACCCCAGCCUGCUAAAUAGCGCGGCCGAGCUUUGCUCGGUGCGAGCUUCUUAGAGGGACCAUGAUGCGCGAUAGCACAAGGAAGUUUGGGGCAACAACAGGUCUGUGAUGCCCUUAGAUGUUCUGGGCCGCACACGGGCUACACUGGCGCCUGCAACGAGCAUAUCAGCUGGCCCGAGAGGGUCUUGGCUAAUCUUUGGAACCGGCGCCGUGCUUGGGAUUGACCAUUGCAAUUGUUGGUCAUGCAACGAGGAAUGCCUUGUAAACGCGAGUCAUCAGCUCGCAUUGAAUACGUCCCUGCCCUUUGUACACACCGCCCGUCGCUCCUACCGAUGAAUGUUCCGAUGAAAUUUUCGGAGAGCGCCAGAGAACGGGGCUCUGCCUUGCAGAUCUGGAGGCUCAAAGUCACUUAAAUCUGAACAUUUCGAGGAAGGAGAAGUCGUAACAAGGUAACC